UACGGGGGGGGCAAGCGUUGUUCGGAAUUACUGGGCGUAAAGGGCUCGUAGGCGGCCAACUAAGUCGGAUGUGAAAUCCCCAGGCUCAACCGAGGAACUGCGUCCGAUACUGGCAGGCUGGAAUCCGGGAGAGGGAUGUGGAAUUCCAGGUGUAGCGGUGAAAUGCGUAGAUAUCUGGAGGAACACCGGUGGCGAAGGCGGCAUCCUGGACCGGUAUUGACGCUGAGGCGCGAAAGCUAGGGGAGCAAACGGG
rnacentral:rRNA from 1 species